UUUUUUUUCUUCACCAUUCAUUUUUCCAUUAGGGAUUUUAGAGCCACUUCAAACAAGGCUUGUGUUUCAUGUAGGCUUUCCCCAGCGUGACGUUUUGAUAACUGUAAAUCUCUCCUGGACAAGAUUCUCUGCUCCUUCAGCCGGUGGAGGUCUAUAUUUAAUCCCUUAGAAUUACUGCCAACUAUAUGAACAAGAUUCAAAGCCAGAUGAACUCUUUGCAGAAUGUAUCCAUAAUCAUGCAUUAAUAAGCAUAUUUAUUUGACAAGAAUGCACCUAAUCACCCAUCAAUCACGUCAAACACUUGAACUCCAACAAUUACAUUGUUUUAAAGAAAUCACAACAGUAACCAAUGCAUACAUACUGUAUGUAUUUUAUACAUCAAAUAUAAACAUCUAAUUUGAAGUAAACAAUACAUUAUUUAUUCAUCAAUGCCACAAACAUGGGACAUUGAAGAGCACCAUAUUAACUAUUAUUACUAUCUGAGAGCGCAGAGAUUUGUCUACUUUUCCUUUUCAGGAAUUAGACCAGCAGAAAUAAUACAAUGUAAAACAGCAUAUAGUGAUUUUUGGUGGGUGAGUUACAAAAGGAGAAACUACUGGAUGUGUGAAGUAGAUUUAAUAUAAAAUGCUAGGUCAACUCCUGCA